rnacentral:rRNA from 1 species
UACGUAGGGGGCAAGCGUUGUCCGGAAUUAUUGGGCGUAAAGAGCGUGUAGGCGGUCCGGUAAGUCAGCUGUGAAAGUCAAGGGCUCAACCCUUGAAUGCCGGUUGAUACUGUCGGGCUAGAGUCCGGAAGAGGCGAGUGGAAUUCCCGGUGUAGCGGUGAAAUGCGCAGAUAUCGGGAGGGACACCAAUGGCGAAGGCAGCUCGCUGGGACGGUACUGACGCUGAGACGCGAAAGCGUGGGGAGCGAACGGG